UCUUCGAACCGGAGAUGACAGCCAGCCACUCCCCCUACAUCACCGGUCUCAUUCUCUCCGGGUCUCCCUCGAAACCCCCUCUGAUGUCAAAUCUUAUUAGAAGUUGUAAGGCGGUGACAACUACACAGAUUCUGCCUCCCUUAGCUCAGACGUCAGCAGCCACCGAUCCAGCAUAGAUAGACCACUUGCCGAUUGGUCUUGGGGUCUCCCAUGCGUCGGCGUCAUCAACGUCAUCAGUGGCGCAACCUGUUAGCACCAGGCGUCAUCAUCGCCCCCCAAUACGACCGACACAACAUCGACAUACUCUACUGGUGUGUCGAGGUCACAACUAGCCAAGAAGAACACCCGAGGACCUUGUCGCCAAUUGAAGACGGUGAAGGUCACCGGGGUGACCAACAGUCGUAUCAAUAUUGGAUACGACGAGCGGCAUCGGGCUGCAUCAACGGCGGAAUUGCAUAGCUCAUUGGCCCAUGACAUUGGUCACAUCGUUCAGACCCCUUGCCCGAUGAAAUGGAAGUCUUAGAAGGUCAUGCCUGACAAGAUGAGGAUGGAUGUGCGCGGACAAUUGUCGAGGACCUCAACGACGAGUCGUUAGCGUACGUCAACAGACUCUUUGCUGAGAGGUACAAGCAGUGGAAGAGCGACUUGCACCACCAAUUUCAAGCAUUUGAUGAUCCGUAGGUUGCUCUUCAGGUGGGUUGCCCGAAGGAGCUUGAGGGGUAGGAGGAUAGUUGGGCGUGGCUUUGCAGUCAUUUUCAGGAGGCCAAUUAUAAGAAGGCGAAAGCAAAUAAGGGCAAUAAGGACAAGAAGACUCUUCUCCACCAUUCAAGUUCCAGGCCCUUCUCAAAUAGGAUGGAGGCGUGGU